rnacentral:rRNA from 1 species
UACGUAGGGUGCAAGCGUUGUCCGGAAUUACUGGGCGUAAAGCGUGCGCAGGCGGCUAUCCAAGUCAGUGGUGAAAGCCCGGAGCUCAACUCCGGAACUGCCAUUGAAACUGUUUAGCUCGAGUACGAGAGAGGUGAGUGGAAUUCCCAGUGUAGAGGUGAAAUUCGUAGAUAUUGGGAAGAACACCGGUGGCGAAGGCGGCUCACUGGCUCGUAACUGACGCUCAUGCACGACAGCGUGGGGAGCAAACAGG